rnacentral:sRNA from 1 species
GAACACAAUGUGAACUUGGGACAGUUCCCAGACUGUCGGUGGGAUGUUGGCAGAGAAUGGCAUUGCCUGUGGCGGUUUCUGCAAUGUCUGGAUAUAUACGAAUAGAAUAUUCAUGGGCCUUAACAUUCAUUCUUUGGUUUUGCCAACCGCUGGAUACUUUCGAGCCACUGCAAAAUGGGAAGCAUGUUAAAAUUCAUUAAGACCAUCGACGACCAUAUUUCAACAUUCAUAAGUGGUGAAGCAUGAAGCCUUAUAAACAUUUUUUGUCGUUGAUAACAUGCCAUUGAUUGUUGAUACGAGUAUCGCAUUGGGCGUUAACGAGCUUAAAUAUUUUUUCAUUAAUAAAAUGUAUGAAAAAAAAUACUACAUUUUCUUGGAAACUUUUUGGCGAAGAAGAAUUCUUGUUUGAGAAACAAACAAAUCAUUGACUUAAAAUAUAUGUCUUGUACAUUAAGCAUCCACAGUCAAAUAACAAUUGACUAUUACCGUUGUUGCAUUUCU